rnacentral:rRNA from 1 species
UACAGAGGGUGCUAGCGUUGUUCGGAAUCACUGGGCGUAAAGCGCGUGUAGGCGGUCUGCUAAGUCUGAUGUGAAAGCCCGGGGCUCACCCCCGGAAGUGCAUUGGAAACUGACAGACUGGAGUCCCGGAGAGGAGGGUGGAAUUCCUGGUGUAGCGGUGAAAUGCGUAGAUAUCAGGAGGAACACCGGUGGCGAAGGCGGCCCUCUGGACGGUGACUGACGCUGAGACGCGAAAGCGUGGGGAGCAAACAGG